rnacentral:misc_RNA from 1 species
UAAUUGCCCAUUUCUUCUUCUAUAUUUCUCUUUCAAAAAAUAUAAAUCAAUCCCCAAACUUCGUUUGGUCAGCUAUCAUAAAAUCCACAAUAAAAAAACAAAAAUCUGAGUACCCAUGUAAAAGUGAAAGCUAAAUUUAUAAGCAUAUGCCUAGAAGAAACAAAAAAGUGAGUGAGAGCGUCACCGUUGAUUUCUAACGGCUAGAUUGAGGAGAGCGAGAAGAGAGGCUUGACGGGCGUCGAGGUUAGAAGAAAGAAGCAUGAAAACGAGGGGCUGA